rnacentral:lncRNA from 1 species
CGCUCGGGCCCCGCCCAUUGGCGCUGGGGCGGAGCAGGGGCGCGGGCCUGGCGGCGGUUCCGAGUCGGGCGCGCGCGGGCAGGGUCCCCACUGCCUGCUGCGCAGCCGGUCUAGCGGCUGCCCUCGGCCUUCUCGCCAUGGACGCGGACGACUCCCGGGCCCCCAAGGGCUCCUUGCGGAAGUUUCUGGAGCACCUCUCCGGGGCCCGCAAGGCCAUGGGCAUGCUGACCAGCGGCGGGGAUGUUCAAGGACCCAAGGAUUGAGAACAAUGGACUUUUUGAUGUGUGUUGCAACAAACUCAUAGCCGAGGGCUGUAAACCGGAGGAUCACCAGGUCUGCCUACCAGUCACCAGGCAAGUGGGGAGAAGCUGUCACCCCAACUUGAGUUUCAAGAAGACUCCUUGGAAGAAAAGACCACCAAAUUGAGAAUGAAAAGAUCAUACACGGGGGUCGUCAGACAUGGUCUGAGACCUGCUGCGAAGAACAGCAGCCUGGCCCUGCUACCCCCUGGCUUCUGCUCACAGCACUGACCCCAGCUAAUCCAAGAACAUGUCACCUAUAAUGAGGAAUAUUGAAGAAAAAUCAACCAUCUUCCAGAUGUGUCUAUAUCAUGUACGGUACAUGGGUAAGGUAAGCUGAACACAACAUAAAAAAGAAAACUUACAAAUGCUCCCUUCAUCUCAUUAAAGAUGACUCCUUUAAAGACCAAGGGCAUCUGGGGGUCGCUGGGUUCUCAUAUUCCAGGCGCCAUCCUUCCUGCCUGAGGACAAAUAAUAUAAGCUGACAGUGACUCAAAUACUAAAGUCUGUAUCAACUAGUUAAUCACUCAUGACAUACCAGAAAUCCAGCUCACGUAAACCUGGGAAAAAGGUCUCAUCCAAAUACACUGAGAGGAGAUUCUGAAAGUCCUUGGGAUUUUGUGUGGAAAAUGGAUACAGAGUAUAAUCACUAGCUCGGUAAAAAUGAAAAGUGAAAUUGUAAAAUUUAACAGAUUUCUACUAAAAUUAUUGAAUCUUAAGCCUCAUUUCCCCUUUGUCUUAGGACAGUAAGUUGUAGCUAUUCUUGAGAUGGGGCAGUGGCUCCAUGCUCUGGCCCCCGACCCCAGCAGCCAUCCCAGCUCAUCGCCCUGAGUGCCGG